rnacentral:rRNA from 1 species
GACGAACGCUGGCGGCGUGCUUAACACAUGCAAGUCGAACGCUGAAGCUUGGUGCUUGCUCUGGGUGGAUGAGUGGCGAACGGGUGAGUAAUAAGUGAGUAACCUGCCCUUGACUCUGGGAUAAGCCUGGGAAACUGGGUCUAAUACUGGAUACGACAUGUUACCGCAUGGUGGUUUGUGGAAAGGGGUUGAUUGGUUAUGGAUGGGUGCACGGCCUAUCAGCUAGUUGGGGGGGUAAUGGCCCACCAAGGCGACGAAGGGUAGCCGGCCUGCGAGUGUGACAGGCCACACUGUGACUGGGAAAGCACCCAGACGGCUACUUGAGGCAGCAGUGGGAAAUUUUGCACGAUGGGCGGAAGCCGUAUGCAGCGACGCCGCGUGGUAAAUGACGGCCUUCAGGUAAGAAACCGCGUGCGGCACGAAAGAAGCGAAAGUGACGGUACGUGCAGAAAAAGCGCCGGCUAACUACGUG